rnacentral:rRNA from 1 species
AAUCAACCUUUUGAGUUUGUUCUUGUGGGUUUCGAGGAGUUUAAAAGCCUUCGGAUUUGCUAGGAUUGGGCUCUUUUGGUGUACUUUCUCGUACGGUUAGUCAACAUCGGUUUUGAAUGUCAUAAAAUGACUGGAGGAAUGUGGCUUCGAUCUCGCAUCGAAGUGUUAUAACCUUUGGUAGAUGUGAUGUUUGAGACCGAGGAUUGCAACGGAUACCUUCUGGGCUAUUCGUCUGAUCUCUGAUACGUUGCCUUGAUGUCGAAAGCGUGCUUAUGAUGUUAGGGUAUUACGGUCAAAAGGUUAGAACGGAUUAAAUUCGUUAAGGAUGUUGACGUA